GUCCGGCCGGUUACAGGAAACAGAAACUCCGUGCGGAACAGGAGUUUCUGUUUCCUGUAACCGGCCGGAC
rnacentral:miRNA from 1 species